rnacentral:rRNA from 1 species
ACUAACGCUGGCGGCGUGUCUUAGACAUGUAAGUCGAACGGGUUGCUAUUUUGUAGCAAUACAGAAUAGCGCUAGUGGCGAACGGGUGAGUAAUGCAAAAGUAACUUUCCUUAGAGUGAAGAAUAACCUCGAGAAAUCGUGACUAAUUCUUCAUAUUCUCAAUAGACAUAUGUCUAUUGAGGAAAGGCUUCGGCCGCUCUGAGAUAGGCUUUUGGCCUAUCAGUUUGUUGGCGGGUUAACAGCCCACCAAGACUACGACGGGUAGGGGGUGUGAGAGCAUGACCCCCCACAUGGGAACUGCGACACGGUCCCAACUCCUACGGGAGGCAGCAGCCUAGAAAUUUGGGCAAUGGACGAAAGUCUGACCCAGCGACGCCGCGUGAGGGAUGAAGUCUCUCGGGAUGUAAACCUCUGUUGAGGGGAACGAUAAUGACGGUACCCCUCGAGGAAGCCUCGGCUAACUCCGUGCCAGCAGCCGCGGUAAUACGGAGGAGGCAAGCGUUGUCCGGAAUCACUGGGCGUAAAGGGUGUGUAGGUGUCCUGGUGGGUCAAGUGUGAAAUCCAACAGCUUAACUGUUGAAGUGCACAUGAAACUAUCGGGAUUGAGGACAUGAGGGGAGAGCGGAACUCGCGGUGUAGCGGUAGAAUGCGUGGAUAUCGCGAGGAAUGCCGAUGGCGAAGGCGGCUCUCUAGUAUGUUUCUCGUAUGAGAGGCUGAAUAAUUUUAAUCUUCGGGUUUUGAUUAAUCGGUCCUGACACUGAAACACGAAAGCUGGGGGAGCGAACGGGAUUAGAUACCCCGGUGGUCCCAGCCCUAAACGAUGUACACUUGGCAUGCGCUAUAUUUGUGCGUGCCGUAGGUAACCUGUUAAGUGUACCGCCUGGGGAGUACGCUCGCAAGGGUGAAACUCAAAGGAAUUGACGGGGACCCGCACAAGCGGUGGAGGAUGUGGUUCAAUCCGAUGCAACGCGAAAAACCUUACCUGGGUUUGACAUCCUCUGACAGUCCCUGAAAGGGGAUCUUCCCGAUUUAUCGGGACAGAGUGACAGGUGCUGCAUGGCUGUCGUCAGCUCGUGUCGUGAGAUGUUGGGUUAAGUCCCGCAACGAGCGCAACCCUUGUCUUUAGUUGCUACUAUUCAGUUAAGCACUCUAAAGAUACUGCCCCGGUUAACGGGGAGGAAGGUGGGGAUGACGUCAAGUCCUCAUGGCCUUUAUAUCCAGGGCUACACACGUGCUACAAUGGGUUGAACAAAGGGUUGCCACUCCGUGAGGAGGAGCUAAUCCCAUAAAGCAGCCCUCAGUUCGGAUUGGAGUCUGCAACUCGACUCCAUGAAGUUGGAAUCGCUAGUAAUCGUGGACCAGCAUGCCACGGUGAAUACGUUCCCGGGCCUUGUACACACCGCCCGUCACACCACGAAAGUUGGCUGUACCAGAAGUUGCUGGGCUAACCCCUGAGCUUGUCGAAGGGGAGGCAGGCACCUAAGGUAUGGCUGAUGAUUGGGGUG